rnacentral:miRNA from 1 species
UGUACCUCAUCCAGCGGAAGGGUUUCCUUCCAAUGGACAAGGUACAUGUACCUCGUCCAGCGGAAGGGUUUCCUUCCAUGUACCUCGUCCCCAUUGGAAGGAAACCCUUCCGCUGGACGAGGUACAUGUACCUUGUCCAUUGGAAGGAAACCCUUCCGCUGGACGAGGUACA